rnacentral:rRNA from 1 species
GACAGAGGGUGCAAACGUUGUUCGGAAUUACUGGGCGUAAAGCGCGUGUAGGCGGCUUUGCAAGUCGGAUGUGAAAUCCCGCGGCUCAACCGUGGAAGUGCACCCGAAACUGCAUCGCUAGAGUAUCGGAGAGGAAAGUGGAAUGCUUGGUGUAGAGGUGAAAUUCGUAGAUAUCAAGCGGAACACCGGUGGCGAAGGCGGCUUUCUGGACGAUUACUGACGCUGAGACGCGAAAGCGUGGGUAGCAAACAGG